CUGUCGGCGUGGAGGACUGCUGGCACGGAACUCUGGGGCUCGGGCCCUACCCGAUGGGUCACAAAGAGGAUCAUAGAGACGAGAAGACAGAGGAAAUUCCAGUCCAGUGUAACAAAACGAAGCAAGAGAAAAGAAACUAAGGCAGUGUUUUGAAGGAAGAGAUCUUCCUUGGGGCGUCAUCCCCUGUGCGGAGUCCUGCUAAGCAGUCCUUGACGUGGCCUGCUUUCUCCAUUCCCCAUCUGAUGUUUUUGCCCAGACCCCCGGGAGCCCGGGCCUGGCCUCUAGCUGGCUCACAAGACGUUCUGGACUGAAAGGAAAGGCACUUAGGGAAAAGUCUCGGUUGAAGCAACUGGGGCCAAUAAGGACCAGAAACGGAUGAGAUGUUCCAGCAAGAAGCAGAGGGCCUGAAAGAGAAAUCUGGACCCCAGACACAGGAAGAAAGGCAGAAGACAGCCAGCAUCCAGGCACUUCAAAGAAACCCACUUGGAAGCCAGGACUUGGGGAGCUAGGCAAGGAUGUCUCACAAACGCAGUUCCCCAAGUGUGUUUCUGCAAAACUCCUUGAAGGUCCUGAGGGGGGCAAACAGGAGAGAACUUCCAGACAAGGAGAGCAAGAGGGACUUUGCAGAUGUGAUUACAUUAAGGAUCUUGGGAUGGGGAGACCCUGGAUUAUCUGGGUGAGCCCAAUGUAAUCACAAGGGUCCUUCUAAGAGGAAACCGGAGGAGACAGAGGAGAAAAAGGCAAUGUGGCAACAGAAACAGAGAUCGGAGCGAUAUGGCUGGAAGCCAAGGAAUGCCAGCAAACUCUAGAAGCUGCAAGAGACGAGAAACGGAUUCUCCCCUGGAGCCUCCCCAAGGAUGGAGCCCUGUCAACACCUUGACUUUAGCACAGUCAGCCUGCUUUUGGACUUUGACCUCCGGAAAUGUAAGAGAAUACUUUCUUCUAUUUUAAGUCACUGAGUUUGUGGAAAUUUGUUAGGUAGUCAUAGGAAACUAAUAUAGAGAAUAUAAGGUAAUUACAAAGCACCCAUAUCAAACCACCCUUUGGACUAAACACACACACUAGGGGUGCCCGGGUGGCUGUCGGUUGAGCAUCUGACUUGGGCUCAGCUCAGGAUCUCGUGAUGCGUGAGUUCAAGCCCCGCGUCGGUC